UGGGGAAUAUUGCACAAUGGGCGAAAGCCUGAUGCAGCAACGCCGCGUGAGCGAUGAAGGCCUUUGGGUCGUAAAGCUCUGUCCUUGGGGAAGAAUAAAUGACGGUACCCUUGGAGGAAGCCCCGGCUAACUACGUGCCAGCAGCCGCGGUAAUACGUAGGGGGCAAGCGUUAUCCGGACGUAUUGGGCGUAAAGAGUGCGUAGGGGGUUUUGUAAGCGCGGGGUGAAAGGCAAUGGCUCAACUAUUGUAAGCCCUGCGAACUGCAAGACUUGAGUGCAGGAGAGGAAAGUGGAAUUCCUAGUGUAGCGGUGAAAUGCAUAGAUAUUAGGAGGAACACCAGUGGCGAAGGCGACUUUCUGGACUGUAACUGACACUGAGGCACGAAAGCGUGGGGAGCAAACA
rnacentral:rRNA from 1 species